AGAAAAUCCAGUUUCAUAGACACAAGCCAAAGUCUGAGGCCAAAAGUUCAACUUCGUCUUCUACUAAGAAAAAUAUUUUUGGAUCCACGGUUGGCUGAAUCUGUGAAUGUGGAACUUGUGGAUACAGAAGGCUGACUGUACUGCUUUCUUGUGUUAUCAUAGCACCCUCUGUUCCUUGAUUCAGUGGAAGAGCAGUGAUUCGACAAGAGUCAUCGAUAAACAGAGUGAAGGUCAUGCUCCGAUAGAGAAGACUGAAACUAAAUAAGGGUUGAAUAACUCUGACUUCACACAGUGAGUUGGCGAUGAUGCUUUCUUUGUUCUUGUGACAAUAAACACAGCUU